rnacentral:rRNA from 1 species
GCCUUUGGGUGGGGAAUACACGAACGGUGUUAAUACCGCAUAAUGCAGCGGCUCGACAUCGAGACAGUUGUUAAAGCGGGGGAUCGCAAGACCUCGCGCCUGAAGAGAAGCCUGCGGCAGAUUAGCUAGUUGGUAAGGUAAUGGCUUACCAAGGCGACGAUCUGUAACCGGCCUGAGAGGGCGGUCGGUCACACUGACACUGACAUACGGGUCAG